CUACAGGGUGCUUUGUGACAUAUCUCUGCACUGAUCACCCAGGUGAUAUAACUCUUCUCUAGGAUCUGCCUACUGGGUGCUUUGUGACAUAUCCCUGCAAUGAUCACCCAGGUGAUAUACCACUUGUCAAGGCCCUGCCUACAGGGGCAUUGCGAUGUAUCUCUGCACUGAUCACCUAGGUCAUGUAAAUCUUUUCUAGGCUCUACCUAUAGUGGCAUUGUGACAUAUCUCUGCACUGAUCAUCCAAGUGAUGUAACCUUUCUCUAGGAUCUGCCUAAAGGGAAUUUGUGACAUAACUCUGCACUGAUCAUCCAGGUGAUGGGGCUUUUAUCUAGGCUCUGCCUAAGGGGGCAUUGUGACAUAUUUCUGCACUGAUCACCCAGGUGAAGGACUCUUGUCUUCGAUCGGCCUAUAGGGGCAUUGUGACAUAUUUCUGCACUGAUCACCCAGGUGAUGGGACUCUUGUCUAGGCUCUGUGUAUGGGGACUUUGUGACAUAUCUCUGCAGUAAUCACCCAGGUGAUGUAACGCUUGACUAGGCUCUGCCUACGGGGCAUAGUGACAUAUCACUGCAUUGAUCACUGAGGUGAUGUAACUCUUGUCCGACUCUGCGUAUAGGGGGCCUUGUGACAUAUCUCUGCACUGAUCAUCUAGGUGAUGUAACUCUUGCUUACACUCUGCCUGCAGGGGCAUUGUGAAAUAUCUCUGCACUGAUCACGCAGGUGAUUGGACUCUUCUGUAGGCUCCGCCUCCUGAGGGCAUUGUCACAUAUUUCUGCAAUGAUCACCCAGGGGUAUUGAGACAUAUCUCUG
rnacentral:lncRNA from 10 species